CCUACGGGUGGCAGCAGUGGGGAAUAUUGCACAAUGGGCGCAAGCCUGAUGCAGCCAUGCCGCGUGUGUGAAGAAGGCCUUCGGGUUGUAAAGCACUUUCAGCGGGGAGGAAGGCGUUAAGGUUAAUAACCUUGGCGAUUGACGUUACCCGCAGAAGAAGCACCGGCUAACUCCGUGCCAGCAGCCGCGGUAAUACGGAGGGUGCAAGCGUUAAUCGGAAUUACUGGGCGUAAAGCGCACGCAGGCGGUCUGUCAAGUCGGAUGUGAAAUCCCCGGGCUCAACCUGGGAACUGCAUUCGAAACUGGCAGGCUAGAGUCUUGUAGAGGGGGGUAGAAUUCCAGGUGUAGCGGUGAAAUGCGUAGAGAUCUGGAGGAAUACCGGCGGCGAAGGCGGCCCCCUGGACAAAGACUGACGCUCAGGUGCGAAAGCGUGGGGAGCAAACAGGAUUAGAUACCCGGGUAGUC
rnacentral:rRNA from 1 species